UACGAACGCUGGCGGCGUGCCUAAUACAUGCAAGUCGAACGCACAGUUUAUACCGUAGCUUGCUACACCAUAGACUGUGAGUUGCGAACGGGUGAGUAACGCGUAGGUAACCUGCCUGGUAGCGGGGGAUAACUAUUGGAAACGAUAGCUAAUACCGCAUAAUAUUGAUUAUUGCAUGAUAAUUGAUUGAAAGAUGCUAUUGCAUCACUACCAGAUGGACCUGCGUUGUAUUAGCUAGUAGGUGAGGUAACGGCUCACCUAGGCGACGAUACACAGCCGACCUGAGAGGGUGAUCGGCCACACUGGGACUGAGACACGGCCCAGACUCCUACGGGAGGCAGCAGUAGGGAAUCUUCGGCAAUGGACGAAAGUCUGACCGAGCAACGCCGCGGGAGUGAAGAAGGGUUUCGGAUCGUAAAGCUCUGUUGUAAGAGAAGAACGGGUGUGAGAGUGGAAAGUUCACACUGUGACGGUAUCUGACCAGAAAGGGACGGCUAACUACGUG
rnacentral:rRNA from 1 species